GAAGCAUAUGGGGGAAGCAGCAAGGAUUGAACUGCCUGAAGUUUAUAAAAUUAAUUAGAAUUAUCUGUUCUCUCUCUUUUACUCCAAGGGGAAGGAACCUGCAUGAGUGUCUGAUUCUACAGCCAGCUGUUUUUGAUCCCACAGUGGAGAUGGAUCCAUUAGGUAGAACUGUGUGUUUUCUUUCUUCUGGCUCUACUUGGAAAGUUGGUCAGCGUCUUUGCCGAUAUCUUGUAUUUGAGGCUUUGUACCACAGGUCGUGAUUGAUUUACCACAUGUGAGUAUUUGCAUUU
rnacentral:lncRNA from 1 species